UAUAUAAAGGAUGGAGUUCUCCGAGAGCAAUAUAAAUAGCAAUAUAUCUAGAAAAGGGUACGUAUGUGAUAUUGCUCUCGGAGAACUCCAUCCUUUAUAUA